rnacentral:rRNA from 1 species
UACGUAGGGUGCAGGCGUUAAUCGGAAUUACUGGGCGUAAAGCGUGCGCAGGCGGUCUCUUAAGACAGGUGUGAAAUCCCCGGGCUUAACCUGGGAACUGCGCUUGUAACUGGCAAGCUAGAGUGUGGCAGAGGGGGGUGGAAUUCCACGUGUAGCAGUGAAAUGCGUUGAUAUUAUGGGGAACACCAAAAGCGAAGGCAGCAGACUGGAGCACUCCUGACACUGAAACAUGAAAGCGUGGGUCGCGAAUGGG